GAACGCUAGCGGCAGGCUUAACACAUGCAAGUCGAGGGCAGCGCGGGAGUAGCAAUACUUCUGGCGGCGACCGGCGGAAGGGUGCGUAACGCGUGAGCAACAUUCCCGCAUCUGGGGGAUAAGCACUGGAAACGGUGUCUAAUACCCCAUAACAACGGAUUCCACAUGGAGACCGUUUGAAAGCUGCGACGGAUGCGGAUUGGCUCGCGUGACAUUAGCUAGUCGGCGGGGUAACGGCCCACCGAGGCGACGAUGUCUAGGGGUUCUGAGAGGAAGGUCCCCCACACUGGAACUGAGACACGGUCCAGACUCCUACGGGAGGCAGCAGUGAGGAAUAUUGGUCAAUGGGCGGAAGCCUGAACCAGCCAUGCCGCGUGAAGGAAUAAGGCCCUAUGGGUCGUAAACUUCUUUUGUGGUGGAGCAAUAAGGGCUACGCGUAGUCCGAUGAGAGUACAUCACGAAUAAGCAUCGGCUAACUCCGUGCCAGCAGCCGCGGUAAUACGGAGGAUGCAAGCGUUAUCCGGAUUUAUUGGGUUUAAAGGGUGCGUAGGCUGUGCCGCAAGUCGGGGGUGAAAGCCCGGGGCCCAACCCCGGAACUGCCCUUGAUACUGCGGCGCUGGAGUUCGGAUGCCGUGGGAGGAAUGAGUAGUGUAGCGGUGAAAUGCAUAGAUAUUACUCAGAACACCGAUUGCGAAGGCAUCUCACGAAUCCGACACUGACGCUGAGGCACGAAAGCGUGGGGAUCAAACAGGAUUAGAUACCCUGGUAGUCCACGCAGUAAACGAUGAUGACUAACUGUCGGCGA
rnacentral:rRNA from 1 species